CCUAGAGUUUGUGGACUUCGGUCUGCUACCUCUUACCCAUGUCUUUUGAGUACCUUCGUUUCCCUCGGCGGGUCCGCCCGCCGGUUGGACAACAUUCAAACCCUUUGCAGUUGCAAUCAGCGUCUGAAAAAACUUAAUAGUUA
rnacentral:misc_RNA from 1 species